rnacentral:rRNA from 1 species
AUACGAAGGGUGCAAGCGUUACUCGGAAUUACUGGGCGUAAAGCGUGCGUAGGUGGUUCGUUAAGUCUGAUGUGAAAGCCCUGGGCUCAACCUGGGAAUUGCAUUGGAUACUGGCGGGCUGGAGUACGGUAGAGGGUAGUGGAAUUCCUGGUGUAGCAGUGAAAUGCGUAGAGAUCAGGAGGAACAUCCGUGGCGAAGGCGACUACCUGGACCAGUACUGACACUGAGGCACGAAAGCGUGGGGAGCAAACAGGAUUAGAUACCCUGGUAGUCCACGCCCUAAACGAUGCGAACUGGAUGUUGGGUUCAACUAGGAACUCAGUAUCGAAGCUAACGCGUUAAGUUCGCCGCCUGGGGAGUACGGUCGCAAGACUGAA